rnacentral:lncRNA from 1 species
AAAAAAAAACCUAAAAACCAAUCCUUCUUUUCUCUCAACAUCCUAGAAUCUAGUCUUGGCUCCGGCGAUUGGCCACCGUGUCGACUGCCGAUCACCGACAACGGUUUCGCGGUCCACGGUGGCACAAAAAAUACCCGAAUUCUUUUUUUUUGAUCUUUUUUCACCCUCAGUCUCGAUUGAAAACCAAAAUGCCCAAAAACCCACCAAAAUUCGAAAAAAAAAGAGAAGAAAUAAAGGGACCUUUCAGUUCCCAAUCACCGCCAAUGAGUUUUUCGUCGAACCUAUGGACUCAACCUCCUUCCAGAUCGGAGAAGUUUCGACUGCGGCAGUUAAGGUAACUGGCCUCGUUUCCUUUUUAUUUUUUUAGUUAUUUAUUUACUUAGGAAAUAAAAUAAAAUCAGAUAAAAAUAAAAUUUCUAGCUUUUAAAGCUCGAAACUUUUUUGUAUUUCUUUCUCUGUGUGUCCAAAAUCACAAGCUAUUUUUGUGACUUUUAUAGCCGAAUAUUACAAUAUUUUUCUUUUCGUUUACGUGUUUUUUUGUUGUUGCUAUUUCUCUGUCAUUUUCUUUUUGUUUCUAUGUUUCUCUUAAGGGUUUGGCAAGGUCAACGGAGGCGGAUUUUGCCAUUCUAGUGCAAAACAGCCAAGGAGUCAGGCCUCGGGCAGCGUGCACGCUGCGGAGGCACGAGGAGGGGGUAUAGUGCAUAGGGGCUAGGUUUUCAAUUUUUCUGAAAACUUAGUUUAGGUUGUGGGCUCAUAUUUGGGCCUAGGGUUUGUUUUAAUUUGGG